UGGACUGCAAAUUUUCAUGGUUAUUAAGUUUGUAGGUCAUUUUAGACCAUUAAAUAGACAUAAAAAGAUCUAAAUUUCUGUUAUGUGAAGAUUUAUGUCUCUAAAUUUCUGUUAUGUGAAGAUUCAUGCGAUAGGAUUAGUGAGCUGCCAAGAAAUACUAUUGUCCUUCAGGCUCAGAAAGCAGAGAGGGAUGCUACGAGAGUUUGGUAAAAAGUGGGAGAAGGGAAAUAGCACCUACACCCAACAACAACUUGAUGAACUGAGAAAUGAAUGGGUAGAAUUUGUGAGUCAUCGCAUGUACUAGCUAUAUAUGUAGUUACCUAGUCACUAUUUUGUGAAUUUUGGCUAUGAAUAGUUAGCCCUAGUCACUAUUUUGUGAAUUUUGGCUAUCGAUAGUUAGCCUACCUA